rnacentral:rRNA from 1 species
GACGAACGCUGGCGGCGUGCUUAACACAUGCAAGUCGAACGGAAAGGCACUGCUUUUGUGGGGUGCUCGAGUGGCGAACGGGUGAGUAACACGUGAGUAACCUGCCCUUGACUUUGGGAUAACUUCAGGAAACUGGGGCUAAUACAGGAUAGGAGAUGCUGCUGCAUGGUGGGGGUUGGAAAGUUUCGGCUGUUGGGGAUGGACUCGCGGCUUAUGAGCUUGUUGGUGGGGUAGUGGCUUACCAAGGAUUUGACGGGUAGCCGGCCUGAGAGGGUGACCGGCGACAUUGGGACUGAGAUACGGCCCAGACUCCUACGGGAGGCAGCAGUGGGGAAUAUUGCACAAUGGGCGGAAGCCUGAUGCAGCAACGCCGCGUGCGGGAUGACGGCCUUCGGGUUGUAAACCGCUUUCGCCUGUGACGAAGCGUGAGUGACGGUAAUGGGUAAAGAAGCACCGGCUAACUACGUG